rnacentral:misc_RNA from 1 species
GAUGAAGAACGUAGCGAAACGCGAUAUGUAAUGUGAAUUGCAGAAUUCAGUGAAUCAUCGAAUCUUUGAACGCACAUGGCGCCUUCUAGUAUCCUGGGAGGCAUGCCUGUCCGAGCGUCGUUUCAACCCUCGAGCCCCCGUGGCCCGGCGUUGGGGAUCUGCCACGGCAGGCCCCUAAAACCAGUGGCGGACCCGAAGGCCCUCUCCUUUGCGCAGUAGCAUCAGCCUCGCAUUGGGAUCCCUCGGCGUCCUGCCUCUAAACCCCCCACAAGUCCGCUCCGGCGGCACCAAGGUUGACCUCGGAUCAGGUAGGAAUACCCGCUGAACUUAAGCAUAUCAAUAAGCGGAGGA